AGAUACCCAAUUAGCAAUUAAGCUUGCCUUUGAGUGCAGGCCUCCAAUGCGGUGUGUGAUCCUGGUCUGAUUUGCAUGCCGCUUGUGCACGCGCUGAUAAGCGCAGGCAGCAGCCAUACAUAGUUUUAAAAUUCAACUCCAGAAUCCCUCGCAGAAGGCAAAGGGGCCUGCGGGGCACGAGAGAGAGAGAAAUCACAUGGCUGCUCUUCAAAAGGGGACCUGUGUAAGGCAGCCGGCAAAGUGCGUGGGAUCACACUCAGAAUGCAGACCCUGAAUGCCAUGGCAGCUACAACAGGCAAGCUUGAGUUGGUUGCACCAGAUUUCGUUGGACAAAUUAUCCAGAUUGGUUGCAGAUUGUGUGUGUUGACAGCAUCAGACAGGGAGAGAGAGAGAGAGAGUGUCGCAUGCCUUCCUGUUCCUGUACCACCCUCCAACCCCAGAGCCGCAGACUCAAGGCAGUUUCCAGAAUCAAACAAUUUCACGCAGCUACUGGAGGAGGAAAUGAACUGAGCCCAGAGCAAUAAUAAAAUUAUACAAAUGUUA